GUACUUGCUUCGGCUACAUUACAAAAUUUGGGGACGAUACGAGAAGAUUAGAGAGCCCUGGCAAGGAUGACACGCAAAAUCGUGAAAGGUUUUUACAUUUUU